AUGUGUAUAUAUAUGCCUUGUGCUUUUUUCCUUUUUUAUAUUCCGCAGAAAAACCAGCACGAGUUUUUGAACAUACAAAAUAAAAUUAUAAAGUUGGAAAAAGAGAAAGAAGUAAAGAAGAAUCAAGAGCUGCAGAAAAUUGUUAAUAAAAGUAAGAACGAAAUAGAAGGGUAUAAAAAGAUUUUAGAAAAAUUAAAAUCUAUGAACACAGAUUUUAAAAAAAAGAAAAAUGAUGCUGAAAAUGAAAUGUAUUCUAUAAUAGAAAGUAAUAUAGUAACAAAAAAUAAUAAUAUUCUAUUAAAAGACAUAAUAAAAGUUAACGAUAAAUUAAUUAGUAUUAAUAACGCAGUACAUGAGAAGAUAUAUACCGAGUUAGAAAAUAUAAAAAGUAAAUUGGUGCAAGCCAAUAACAAAAUUAAAAAAUAUCAUGAGGUUGUUACUGAAAUUAGUGAAAGUUAUAUAAAAUAUAAAAAAAAUAAAAAAAAAGAAUUAUCAGAGGUAUUAAAAAUUAAUGAAACAUUAAAAAAAAAGUUAGAAGAAAAAAUAUCCAUUGAAAAAUAUAAUACAGACUGUAAAAAUAAAACAGAAAACUUAAAAAUAUCAAACAUAUUAUAUGGUUAUUAUCAAGUAAAAUAUAACGUAUACAACGAAAGCUUAGACAUGUUGUUGAAGUAUUCUCAUUCAAUUAUGAGUUGUAUACAAAGGGAGGUAGGCAGUAAUAUGACAAAUAAUAAAAGUAUGGUCACUGGUACCGAGUCAUUAAAUAGUAUCGGUAUAUUAAAUAACAAUGACACAUACACAUACACCUUCGACAAAAUGAACGAAGAUAAAAGUACUGUUGCUAAGGAUAAUAACAUGCGUAAAGAUAUUUUUAAUGCUUUUUGUAAUAAUAACAUGAAUAAAAUUAGUUGUAAUGUCAACCUAAAUGAUUUAAUAGUUAAUUUAAAAGAAAAAGGACUAGAAUAUUAUAUUUUCAAUACCAUAAAAAGUAAAAAUGAGAAUGGUGAAAUAUUUCCUGAGUAUGAUGAUGCAACUACUACAACACUUUCAAAGAAUGGAGAAAAAAAUCAACAAAUUUCUUUUGAUAUGUUCCUACUAAAUAAUUUAAACGCAACUAAUAUCAUACAUGUAGUAUAUUAUAGUAUCAAAAUGGUUAAUGAUAUAUUAGAGUGUAUGAAUAUAACUUUAUUAUUACUUGCAUAUAUACAUGAUACAUAUUUAAAAGAAGCAAUUAAUAGUAUCAAAUGUUCGCUGUUUGUUGUGUCAGAACAAAAAAGUAACAUUAGAUUCGCUGUUAAUUUUUUUAUAACUCUUUCUGAUUUUUUAUUUUGUAUAAACAAAUAUAUACAAAUUUUUAAAACCUCAACUACUGUUAAUCAUGUUUAUUUAUUAACAAAUGAAAAGUUUUGUACUUCUUUUUUUUUAUGUAAAUAUAUAUUAGAACAAUAUAUAGAUAAAAUAAAAAUUCGAUUAUUUUCUUGUAAUGUUAAUUAUUAUAUUUUAGAAAUAAUGACAAACAAGCUCAAUGAAUUAUAUUCAGAUUUAAUUGGAAUUGUACAGUCAGAACAAAAUUGUAACGUUGAAGAAGCUGGUUCAAAAAAAGAGGUACACUCUGAAAAAAACGAAAAACACAUUUCAGAUAAAAAAGACGAAGGUGUAGGUGUAGGUGUAGGUGUAGGUGUAGGUGUAGGUCAAUCAAUUGAGGUAGACACGGUAGAAAAAACGGAGGAGUCAAAAAAAGCAGAUACUGCAAAAGAAAAAACAGAGGAGUCAAAAAAAGCAGAUAUUGCAAAAGGAAAAACAGAGGAGUCAAAAAAAGCAGAUACUGCAAAAGAAAAAACAGAGGAGUCAAAAAAAGCAGAUAAUGCAAAAGGAAAAACAGAGGAGUCAAAAAAAGCAGAUACUGCAAAAGAAAAAACAGAGGAGUCAAAAAAACUAGACACGGUAGACAAACCUGAACCAACAUCUGCAUUCGAAAUCGUCACAUUCCUAAACAAAAUCGUUGCUAUGAGUAUACUACUAGUAACAGACAAAGACACAUAUGACAACCUGUUUAAAAGUGCAGACACAAAACUACAAAAAUACAUAAUAAUGGAGUGCGAACAAAUAUUAAAACUAAUCAAAUUACCAAACGAAUAUAUAAAUCUGUAUUUCCCUAUAAAAAAAUACAAUAUAUCCUUGAAUAGUAUAAAAUUAUUAGUAAAUAAAUACAAACAUAUGAUUAUAGACAUAGUAAAUAAUAAUGAAAAUAAUAUCAAUAUGGUUGAGUUGGGAAGGGAUAUAAGUGAUGACAUUAAUAAUAUUAGU
rnacentral:lncRNA from 1 species